GUCGUCAGUCAUACAGCUGCACUCCAACUAUGAGGAUUCUCUUUGUGAUUUUAGCCAUUCUUAUGGCAGCUUGUGCUGCUCGGCACCACCAUCGUGGCCAUCAAGUUCACAUUCAAGCUUCGCACGAACACGAAAAUCAUGCAAAUGCGAACAAUCAUCAUGUUGAUCAUCAUUCUGAGGGAUCUAAUUGGUGGUACAAUGUCCCCCACUAUGACUACUACGGACGUGAGCACCUUUCCAAGCCCUGAAAGGACUUCUUUGCCCUCCGUUUUCCCUCCAAUAAAAUGAUGUGAAAAUAAAAAAAAAUCCCCAAAAAUCGUCUGAGGGGAAAAUUCGAAUA